rnacentral:rRNA from 1 species
ACGGAAGGCAGCAGUGGGGAAUAUUGCACAAUGGGGGAAACCCUGAUGCAGCGACGCCGCGUGAGUGAAGAAGUUAUUCGUAAUGUAAAGCUCUAUCAGCAGGGAAGAAAAUGACGGUACCUGACUAAGAAGCCCCGGCUAACUACGUGCCAGCAGCCGCGGUAAUACGUAGGGGGCAAGCGUUAUCCGGAUUUACUGGGCGUAAAGGGAGCGUAGACGGUCUGGCAAGUCUGAUGUGAAAGGCAGGGGCUCAACUCCUGGACUGCAUUGGAAACUGUCAGUCUUGAGUGUCGGAGAGGUAAGCGGAAUUCCUAGUGUAGCGGUGAAAUGCGUAGAUAUUAGGGGGAACACCAGUGGCGAAGGCGGCUUACUGGACGAUAACUGACGUUGAGGCUCGAAAGCGUGGGGAGCAAACAGGAUUAGAUACCCUGGUA